rnacentral:rRNA from 1 species
AUUGAACGCUGGCGGCAGGCCUAACACAUGCAAGUCGAGCGGAUGAAGGGAGCUUGCUCCUGGAUUCAGCGGCGGACGGGUGAGUAAUGCCUAGGAAUCUGCCUGGCAGUGGGGGAUAACGUCCGGAAACGGGCGCUAAUACCGCAUACGUCCUGAGGGAGAAAGUGGGGGAUCUUCGGACCUCACGCUCUCAGAUGAGCCUAGGUCGGAUUAGCUAGUUGGUGGGGUAAAGGCCUACCAAGGCGACGAUCCGUAACUGGUCUGAGAGGAUGAUCAGUCGCACUGGAGCUGAGACACGGUCCAGACUCCUACGGGAGGCAGCAGUGUGGAAUAUUGGACAAUGGGCGAGAGCCUGAUCCAGCCGUGCCGCGUGUGUGAAGAAGGUCUUCGGAUUGUAAAGCACUUUAAGUUGGGAGGAAGGGCAGUAAGUUAAUACCUUGCUGUUUUGACGUUACCAACAGAAUAAGCACCGGCUAACUUCGUG